UGGCAAGCGUUAUCCGGAAUUAUUGGGCGUAAAGCGCGCGUAGGUGGUUUUUUAAGUCUGAUGUGAAAGCCCACGGCUCAACCGUGGAGGGUCAUUGGAAACUGGAAAACUUGAGUGCAGAAGAGGAAAGUGGAAUUCCAUGUGUAGCGGUGAAAUGCGCAGAGAUAUGGAGGAACACCAGUGGCGAAGGCGACUUUCUGGUCUGUAACUGACGCUGAUGUGCGAAAGCGUGGGGAUCAAACA
rnacentral:rRNA from 1 species